CCUACGGGAGGCAGCAGUGGGGAAUAUUGGGCAAUGGGCGCAAGCCUGACCCAGCAACGCCGCGUGAAGGAAGAAGGCUUUCGGGUUGUAAACUUCUUUUUAGCGGGAAGCGCAGAAGACGGUACCUCUUGAAUAAGCCACGGCUAACUACGUGCCAGCAGCCGCGGUCAUGCGUAGGUGGCAGGCGUUGUCCGGAUUUACUGGGUGUAAAGGGCGUGCAGCCGGGAAGACAAGUCAGAUGGGAAAUCCCGGGGCUCAACCGCGGAACUGCGUUUGAAACUGUUUUUCUUGAGUACCGGAGAGGUCAUCGGAAUGCCUGGUGUAGCGGUGAAAUGCGUAGAUAUAAGGAAGAACACCAGUGGCGAAGGCGGAUGACUGGACGGCAACUGACGGUGAGGCGCGAAAGCGUGGGGAGCGAACAGGAUUAGAUACCCGUGUAGUC
rnacentral:rRNA from 1 species